UUUUUUUUUUUUUUUUUGCAUUGAAAAAGUGAGUGUUAUUUGUUUAAUUAUGAGGGGAACUCUCUCCCUCCCUCUCUUUCUCUCUCUCUCUCUCUCUCUCUCUCUCUCACACACACACACACACACACACACACACAUUGCACAUUCCCAUCUUGCAGAGUCUUCCACACGGAUGAUGUUGAAUCUGCCAUCAUGCCUUACCAUUUGAUGUAUUAGCGAUAGUUCACUCCUGUAUCUCAAAUACUUUCUAAAGCUAGAACUCCAAGGCCUCAAGUAGGUUAACUGGUUUUACUGCUGUGUUUUCUUUUCUUGAUUCCAUUCAUUCAAGUCAUGGUGAAUUUUUUCUCUGUUAUUAAAAACCUGCUUCUUAUCCAACAUGUCUUUUCCUGUUCGGUAAUAGCUUCAUUAAAAGUUUCCCUGAUUGCUUACAUUGUGUUCUUUUGUGAUUUGCAAUUAAGUAGCUGCUUCCUUGAAUGCAAUAAAGAGGAUGGCAUUGAGAUUUGAGGGCACAUAUGACACUCUUAAGGAGUGCAGUUAUUUGCAAACCAGGGAGGAAAAUGAGUAUCUGUCCACAAUAUAGUGCUACUCGGACGUACAUUAAUGGAACAAAUGGGACAUCAAAUAGAAUUGCUUCAAUGCUGUGUGUGUUCAAUGACACUGCCAAUCUGUUGACAAAGGGGUGGCAAAAGAAAGGGCAUGGCCUCGUUUCUAUGUCUGUUUAGAAUACAAGUGCAGGGGUUAAGGCCUUCUUUUGAUUUUUUUCUUACCGUUAUACUGCAUAUUUUUAGACCUGCUGAUAAAUUUGAAUUUCCUUAUUUAAGAACCAUGGAAAGAUCUGCAAGUGCAUUAGAAUUUCUAUUUUAAAUUCAUAUACAAGGCUUUUCUAUUAUCACAUUUUGACAAGACAUCACUAACAUUUCAGUAUCUGCUGGAAGAGUAUGCGGCGGUAGAUCCUUUCUAUGCUCUUGGGGUGCCUUGUCUUUGUUCUUUUCAAAUAAGGCUCCUAGUUUGGUAGACUGUUGGGGUGAUGAUUUUGAGAAACCUCUGCAUGAAGUUUUUGAAAAAGAGGUAAAAACAAGUCUGCAACCUAGGUUAACUGCUUGCACCUUUUACUGACUACUGUGGAUUAAGUGGUCCUUGUCACCAUUGAUUUAAAUAAGUUACUUUUGUCAUCUCAGGUCCAGAAAAUGAGGGUUGUCCAGGUACAAAAUCUUUGGUUUGAGAUCUUGAAGUCCCAAAUAGAAAACAGGACCCUUGUUUUGUUUAAGAUGACUUUCAUAUGAUUUUGCUAUUGUCCUCAUUGCUCGUUGGAAAAUUUAUUCAUCUACUAUUCUGUUUGUUAUUAUAUUGUACUUGCGCAGAAUCUGCGCACUAUGAAGUCUUCUAACUCGUGUAUAUUGUGUACACAAGUCCAGCUGAAACUGUUGUGUUCAAUCUCGCCUUGAUUGCUCUUCCAUGAUAUGUUAGAGAAAGGUUGCAACAAUUGACAUAAAGCAUUGCUUGGUCCUAAAUCUCUUUGCCUCUUAUUGUGGUUUUGCCUUCGUAUAUUUCAGGGGGUAACAAGUGAAUCACAUCCAUCUAAACUUGUUUGCAGCUGGCGAAGUUGAUACUUUAAUUUUGACAAACUCACAGGGAUUUGAUUAAUUCCGACUAUCAACUCCUCUGACGUGUUCACUGACAUUGUCUUUGGUUAUAUAUGUCUUCGAUAUUGAUCUUGAUAUUAGUUCUGUUUUCUGUGAGACAGGUUACUACAUUUCUUAAUGCAAGUUACUAUCCUAUCGAAGCUGGAAAAAGGUCUAAAUUACAGCGUAGGCCAAUUGGACUUGGGUCAAGGGUAUGUGAGACAUAUUUGUGUUACUUCGCCUGGCAUUUGAUUCUAGGAGCUGUACAAGGUCAUAUUUAAGACGACAUGCUACUAUGCAUUAAAAAUCAUCAAUCAUGUACCAGUUCAAUUUUGAAAAUGUGAUCCAAGCCAAAGGAGAGUCUUAAAAAUGUUGAGAUCCAAAAUACUACAGGAUACUAUCCCAUCGGAACAGAUAUAAUUGGUGGAACACUGCUUCAUGAUGGGGCUAUUGCAGAGAUGAAGACUGGCGAAGAGAGAGCUUUGGCGUUCACAUAAGUACAUCUUAACUCUAACAUCUCAACCAGAUUUGUGGUAAUAUUUAUUUCUACUUCCUGAUCAGAAAGCACUCUUUGUACUAUAGCUUCAGGACAAUGAAUGGAGCUUUGGGAUGCUUGUUGAGUUAUCUCUCAACCAGCCAUUUGUGGCAUCAAUUUAUUUCUGCUGUUUUUCAGCUUGAAGUUGCAUCGAUGAAUUGGAACUGAAAACAGUAAGCAAGUUUGUCUGAUAUAGAUGGUGCAAAUUGAUGUUUGCUAAUUUUCCUUCGCGUGCCCCUUAACAAUGGUUAAUAGUGAAUGAUUACUUUGGUCAACCUGACGUAGAGUAGAGGGUACAUGUUUUCCAUUUUCUAUGUCUUCCCGUUGGUCUAAUCCUUAUAAAAUUUCCAUGCUGAUUUUCUGUAACAUGUUAUGAAAAUUUGCUUCUUUCAUCUGUUUGUGCAAUGGCGGUUUUUGAAUUAGUUUAGGCUUGUGAACUAUUAUUAGUUGUUUCUAUUUGUAAUUGGUUAUAGAACGUUACUGCCUUCUUUGUGCUUGAUGUAUAGUAAAAUAUUUUUCAGACAUUCA